rnacentral:lncRNA from 1 species
UUCAGUGUUUCUCAAUUCCUCGAAGAGCUCCUUGUCAUACGUCAUGUGAUUUGUGCACCCACUAUCAAUCAACCAGCUCUCACUUGAUUCUCUGCCUGAGAAACAAGUAACCACGAACAAUUGAUCUUCUUCUUCUUGAUCAGCUACCUGUGCAUCUACUUCUUGCACCUAGCCUUUGACCUUGCAAAUCACUGCUUCAUGUCCAAGUUGAU